rnacentral:rRNA from 1 species
AUCCUACGGGGGGCAGCAGUAGGGAAUCUUCCACAAUGGGCGAAAGCCUGAUGGAGCAACGCCGCGUGGGUGAAGAAGGUCUUCGGAUCGUAAAACCCUGUUGUUAGAGAAGAAAGUGCGUGAGAGUAACUGUUCACGUUUCGACGGUAUCUAACCAGAAAGCCACGGCUAACUACGUGCCAGCAGCCGCGGUAAUACGUAGGUGGCAAGCGUUAUCCGGAUUUAUUGGGCGUAAAGGGAGCGCAGGCGGUCUUUUAAGUCUGAUGUGCAAGCCUUCGGCUUAACCGGGGUAGUGCAUUGGAAAC